ensembl:lncRNA
UGUUACUCUGUCAUUAUGGACCGGAAUUGUUUAUCAACGAUGCCUUGCAGAGAUGGAUCCCCCGACCUCCCACUCUCCGCCAGGAGAAGGAGAGUGGCUCGCCGCACUCGCAGACGAAGAAGAAGGAUCAUCCGACGAAGAAGAAGAAGAAGGAUCAUCCGACGAAGAAGAAGAAGGAUCAUCCGACAAAUAAGAAGGAUCACGCGACGAAGAAGAAUGCUCAUGCGACGCCUCGCAGAACUGGAUCCCCCAACCUCCCACUCCCAUUUCCCUGGCUCCCAUCUAGGAGGAGGGGAUUGCCCCCCCGCAUUCGCAGGCUCCUUAUCAUGGUCGUCCGACGAAGAAGAAGGAUCAUCCGACGAAUAAGGAUCAUGCGACGCCGCGCAGAAUUCCAACAGACAAGCCGACGUUAGGAUUUUGUUCAUCAACGAUGCCUCGCAGAACUGGAUCCCCCAACCUCCCCGCCAGGAGAAGGAGAGUGGCUAACGUUCAAACCUACCAAGUCAUUGUCAAAGGAAUAAAUGAAGAGUUGCAGCUAUCAGUCUGACUCUUAAACACCAAUCAAGCCGUUUCCAUCCAAAAUGAACACAUGUACCUACAUCGCUU